CGUGGCUUAGUGGUGAACGCUCCUCUAGUUAGGGCCAAAAGAGGAAUAACCUUUCCUUUCUUUUUUCCUAGCAAAAACUUACGGGAGGAAAGAAUGUAAAUACAAAACUAAUUUUCCAAUGGUCAAACUACGUACUGGAACAAGAAGACAUGAAAUCUGGAUUGUACAGAAAAUUAAGCUGGCGGUGACAGGACAAGAGCAUUUCUGGACGACCGCAUUGUGCCCGAGUGGAUGGAGGACUAGCUGGGCACCUGGACACCUGAGUCCUUGCCCUAGCCCUGCCUUACUGGAGAAGUUUGCACAAGUCUGAACAGUCAUGCACAAGCUUGCACAAACCUUGCACAAGUCUGCCCAGCAUCACUCUCUGCUUUGCUGUGCUCUUAUAAAGUGGAAUGAGGAUGGUGACCUUCUCCUUCAAGUGCUUUGCGAUCUGCUAGCAAACAGCUCUGUGCAAGUCCUAGCCGGUGACAAAGAAGAGUAGGAGGCUGGAUCCAAUGUCUGGGAAAU
rnacentral:lncRNA from 1 species